GGAUCGACGAGUAAUGUGUGGUAAGGUAAGUUAUGAGCGAACGAACCCUAUCCUCGGUAGCCACCUAGGCGGAGGCGGAGGCGGAGCGGGGAGCGGAGGUAGGGGUACCUAGAACACGACCUCCUUCGGAACGCCCGGUACCGAGCGCGCCAGCUGGUCAAGGCCUCGGACCCGCUGUCCGUCUACGCCUCCACGGACGACCCGCGGCCCCUGGUGCAGUCGCCGUUCGACGCCCUCCACCGCUGGGACGACCUGGUCUAGGCGCUGGAGCAGACCCGGCUGCUGCUCUCCUCGAGAGGCCGCUCCUCCCUAGCGGAGUUCCUCCGGAAGAUGCCGUAGCUCCUGAACCACCCGCCGUACCUCAUGGUGUCGGAGUGAAAGGUCCAACUUAGGCCAUAAAGGAGUUUCAGUUUAGCGUUAGGUGAAAGAAGACGAUAGUCCGACCCGUUCGCUAAGCAAUCGUCGUCGCCGUCGCUACUCCGCAGCGCGGCGGCCAAGGAGUUCCUGGAGCUAAGGCAGCGUUCGUGAGAGUCGAGAGACGAGUUCGUUCGUGUUCCCAGGCCAGACGGCGGGUGGCAAGGCCACGGGCUAAAACUGCGACGGUGCUACGAGGUCCCACCAGUGUUCCACAAACCGGCGUUGUUCCUCGACUUGCUGUAGCACGUUUACGACUGACUCGGCGGGAGCGGGGUGACGUGACGGACGUCCCAACAGAGGUAACAACCGAACCCGCCAAACCCGUUCUGGUGCGAGCGGGUCAGUCAGAUGCUGCUAUGGUCUCAGUUCAGGGUGAAACUAGAGUCUCGUACCCGUGUACAGAGUCCGUUCGGACUGUUCUACCUUGAGCGUUUCGUUUAGAACGCAAGUCGGUUGGGCUCUAUGCCACCUAGGUAGCUGUUUCUACGGUGCAAACGUUGAGAAGUCAACUUCGAGUUAGCCAAUUACAGCAGGUCCUCUAAAGACUAACAAGAACUACUAUAGACCCCACUGCUGGGGAAGUGGUUGCUGCGGAUGUUGCUUUAGGAGUCAGGUGAUUCUAGGUACCUCUCGCCGUCAUCCUAAUAACGACAGUGAGCCUGUGGUUUCCACCGACUGUACGAUCUACGUAGAGUGUGGAUGAAGGACUUACGUAACCCGUGACUGCUAACAACCAGUGACUAGUUCCUUAGACGGAAACCCCCGGCCUCGUGUGUACUCCUCACGUGACUUCUUAACCUUGUCUAGCCCUACUUCUAACGGCGGUUCGAGUUGCCUAACGGAAACCGACGGUUCGACUACCCUCCUGACGAACCUCGAUGUUUCUCGUGUUUCAUGACCGCAUAAUAGAGCCUUUUUCUUAAAAGGUCUCUAUAGUGAGAGAGGAACGACGCCAACUCGAUGUCAAUGGACGGUCCUGCUGAGUUCGUCACGAAACGCAAGACGUCGUAUAAAGGGUUCUUGACCUUCAAGCUGGUUUGUUGGAACCAUGCGGAAACCUACCGGUUGCCGAAGUAAGUUGGCGUUUCACCGUGACCGUUUUCCUACCUCCUAGACCCGUGUCUAAUAAAGUUACAAGACGACAGAGCCAGGAAGAAGGUACGAGAGUCCGUCCCGGCAGCGUGUGUGAUAUUCUACGUACUGAACUAGGUACUAUACCGUCACAGUCGAAGUUGGCUUCUAACGACAGUUUAACUCGGACCGUACUGGGCAGCAUAGGGGAGUUGACACGCGGUACAUAGCCAGUGGUGGCCGUCGAACGUUCUGCAGUUACGACGGUAGUUGUAUGAGGGCUUUUUGGAUGCGUGGCAGUAUCAAAAACCUUUAACCUGUGUAAAAGAGCUUCUACUGAGGGACCAAUUCGAUUUCUUAGACGCUCGUGAACUACAAACAGUGACACUGAAAUGACUCAACGGUGGUCGAUAAAGGACAAAUAAGGUAGAGGCAAUGAACAGCGACAGAGCGUGGUAAGCCUCAGAAGGUCUCAGGUAUUCGUUCGACGAGGUAGACGUUUGGAACACGAAACUUCUAUUCACAAGGGAACUAUUCGAAGGACGUCCUUAUUCAUCCGAACAUUUCAACGCCGUGGAACCUUAGCUGUACUUCAUGUAACGUGUCGAUGGCCCAUAACCUGCUGAAUAAUUGGACGUCCCUAGUCAACUCAAGGCACAAUUUUUCCCCCCUCCCGUACGGAACGUUCUCGACUUCCCGUAUUUUACAGAGGUACCGGUCGAUUUUUAAUUUCCGGAGCUGUUACAGAACUCGUUCCUACUUCGGUCGUUCUGGCUGUACUUUUCAUUUCUCUUAGAAUCCCGCGAGUGUGACCUUACCUCAAGUCGAACAUCUUAAGAGUGGGGACACCGACUAACACUUCAUGACCUUUUGGAGGUCGGUGUAGUUUUGAACUUCCUUGAAUCGUAACAUUCCAUAGAACCACACUGUAGAGGGUCAACCAAUGUCAACCGUAACGACUCCCUCGACGUUAGGAACGUGGAACAAUUGACGUCCUCGAACCCUCAAGACGGACGUGAACCGGAAGACGGUAGGGAGCUUGUUAAUGUAUACUUCCUCGACACGUGCCAGCUCGCUUAACCCGUACUCAAAAUACCAUGACCACUGUACCGUAAAGGAAGGGAUUUCCAAGAACACGAACUGCUAAAAGGGUCGAACCAGCUCACCAGACUUCACUCCCUUUUGGGUGAAGGAACAGAGGUCUCCGAUUUCUAACAUCUGACGGGGUUUGACUAAGUUCAAGGACGUAAAGGCGGUAGGCAGAGACUCGAAUGUCACCUCGCAUGUAAUAACUAUAGAUUAUACUUCGAACGAGGAAUAAGAAGUAGUGCUAGUCUCUAUGAGUGGGACCUGUAAAGAUGCUGGUCACAUGAAAGGUCCCCUGACAAGGUAGUUUCGGUAGAUCGUAGAUAGUAUCAAAAUUUGUAUUUGCGACCGACGUUCGUAGAACAACGGCGUCUCCCUGAGGUGUGGAAAUGAAGAGAGGUUUUCGAAGUCGACACGGUGAGACUGUAUAGUCUAGUCUUAAACCUUUCAGAAGAAGUCAGUGUCUCAACGUUUAUAGGUUGACAGGUGACGAGAGAAGACAUCAGAGGAACUGAUGAAAACAAAGUGACUUUGCAAACCACUAACUCUUUACGGGGUUUGACUGCCGUCGUAGAAAGGGUCAUUUGAAAACCUCUGAGUGUCGGGAGUUCCAAGACUCGUAUAGUAUGACGUGUCUCAAGGUCAGAAAUGGAUGAACACCAGACGGUUGGAGUUAUCUUCGUGAAGUAGAACAACCCACAGUGGGUUUCGACGUACCUUUAAGUUCGUUGUUCUGACAGUUAAGGGUUCUCCUUCAAAGAUGAGAUGUGUUUUGUAACCGAGUGACUGUCUUGUGUGAAGUCCACUUUUUCCUAACCGUUAACUAUUUUUACCAUUUGUUCACGGCGUACUUCUUUAGUUCACUGCUUUAAGACCAAUAUAUUCCUUUAUCAUAAACAGGGCGUUUUUAUUUUUAUUCCUUUAUCAUAAACCUCACGUAUACUUGGCUCAUACACAGUGUUACAGAUUCGUUAUAAAGUAAGCAACAGGUGUUUUGAUACUUAAGAUCCUGUACGAUAACAUAGAAAACAAUUUCCCUUAAACAUUUCAACUUAAGAACUUAAUAACAUGUAAGAGUCCAAAGAAACACCUAGGUGAAAACGAA
rnacentral:rRNA from 1 species